UGCAGACAAGAAAAGAAUCUAUGGUUGAUGAUGAGUCAUAUGAAUUGGUUGUUGGUAUGCUGUUUUUGACAGACCAGAUUGAUGCUACCUUGAGAUAUGUUGAUUUGACUUUGAAAUCUGGUUAUAUGUUGUCAAUGAGGGUUUUUGCUGAGUGUGUGAGAAGUUGUGUUAACAAAGGCAGGCUGGAUGCUUUGGUGUCUAUUAUAGAGAGGUGCAAGACAAUGGAUCAAAAUAAAGCUCUUUCUCCCUCCUGGAACAUGUGCAUCUUCAUUGCAGAUAUUGCGAUGCAAUAGGAUAAUAGCAAGUUAGCUUUUUAUGCCCUGUAAUUCAUGGCCAGAUGGAUUGCUCGGGGUGAGAAUGCAAGGGGUCAUGUUCUACUCUCUGUGGAUGAGGGGCUUGUUGUAUCAACACUUGGAACUGCUGGUAGGACUUACAGUUCUACUCUUGUAGAUGCAUCAUGGGCGAUCCUACGAGAUCAUUGCGUCAAAAGAAGGCACCUCAACUAGAAUCUUAUCUUGCAAAAAUAUAUGCCGAUGCAGCAUUGGGGGAUUUGCAGAGAGCAUUCAGCACUCUGCAUAAGUUUGAAACCGCUUAUAGGAACUCCCCCAAAGAAACAGAAGAGGAUAUAUUCUCACCUUUUACAUCUUUACAUCCUUUGGUAAUGGCAAGCUCCAAGAAGGGUUUUGAAACUUUGGACACGGUUUGUCUUCUUAUCUGUAAAAGUUUCUGUUCUCACAAUUCAUUUCCUUCUUCUUUUUACUAGGGGGACAUCCCUCACAUUCAUUCCUCAUUUCCCUUCGUACACAUUCAAAUGCCUUGUGGUAGCCCACUUAUGUUGCAUCGGAACCUAAAUUGAGUUUCAUUUUCACCCUUUUCACUCACCCAUAUCUUUGGAAUGUGGUUAACCCGCCCAUAUGCGCUCCUUUAGUUGCAUUUAUGUGCAAUUGCUCCAAGUGUACAAGGCCUUUACACCAAGUGUACAAGGCCAACGUACUAAAUGUACAAGGGUGUACAAGGGUGUGUACCUUAAGGUAAUUCAAGUGAUUUUGAAGAACUUAGUCAUCAACAUUUUCCACUCGUCGUGCACAUUCCUAACACAUAUCGGUUGACAACACACUCCUUCCACGUAUAUUAUUUGAUAUCUACCAUGUUAGUUCAUUGUUUUAGCUCCCCCACAUUACUUAUGCGUAGGAACCGAAACGAGGGUUAAGGUUUUCCACCUUUUCCCUCAUCCACGAGAAUGGAAACAUUGUUUCCCCACCCAUAUGCACUUGUUCGGUCGUCCCUUCGGUGGAUUGCAUAACUGUACAAGCCAUUUACACUAACUGUACAACCCAAAUGUGCUAACUGUACAAGUGUGUACAACCUUACCUAUAUUGAAGGAUUUCAAUUUUUUUUGAAAAAAUUCAUUGAUGGUGGUGUUUACUUAUUGUUGGUAAGUGUUAUGACAAACAAUUUCCGUCUCCUUCUAUUCGCCUUGUUAUCUUGGGUAACAACACAUAAUUUCAAUAAGCCAGUUUGUUGCCUUUAUGAAAAACUCUCAUUUGAUGUUGAUGUGAGGACAAAUUUCUUUGAGGUUUCUAAUUCAACAGCUUCAUGCAAAAUCAAAUAGUUAAUUCACAUUUUAUGGCUUUAGAGGUUUAUUUUCUCUUAAUUUACAUCCUUCCAAUAUUCUUAAAUUAUUAGUAUGUUGACUUCUUUUGUUUGUAAGACAGAUUUAUGACUCUGCAUCAAUGGAAAAUUAUGUGCACAGUAUUGAGUGACGGAUAAUAGGAGAACUUAAACGAGUACAUGACCGUGUCAAAUUGCAUCUUUUCAUGUUCGUUUUUAGAUGAAGCAAAUAAAUGAUCUUUUAUCCUUGAACUAAUUGUUUUUCCCUUUAUGUGUGCAGGUGGGUAGAUUCUUGAAGUGGGAGCUUUGUCACGAUUAAUAAAAAUACUUCAAAAUAAGAGGCUUAACAUCAGAUGAAAGAUGAGAAUAGAAAAAACAGAGAAGUCUAGAUGAUCAAGAUAGUUUAUUUUAUAGGAAGCCAAUCUAUGUUAAGAGUUGGAUAAUAAGAUACCAACCUUCUUUUAAGUUUUUACAUUGUAACUAUUUUCAUCAAAUAGUAUCAUAUACGUUUCGGGACAUGUAAUUAUGCAUUUCAUUCCAAUUAAAAUUCCAAUGUAUUGAACUUAAAUUUUGGUUA